rnacentral:misc_RNA from 1 species
CAUUGUCCCUGGGAAAUCAGCAGCAGCCGCAUGGACGGCAGUGGGGAAUUUUGGACAAAUGGGGAAACCCUGAUCCGUACCACUUCCGCGUGUGCGAUGAAGGCCUCGGGUUGUAAAGCACUUUUGGCAGGAAGGGAAACGGCACGGAUACCAUCGCGCCACCCAUCGGUGGUUCGGUGAAUAAGCCACCACAAUCACGCAGCCAGCAGCCGCGGUAAUACGUAGGGUGCAAGCGUUAAUCGAAAUUAUUGGGCGUAAAGCGGCACAGUAUGGCCCGGAAAGACAUGGAACCCAGAGCUUAACCUUUGGAACUGCAUUUCUUAACUACCGAGCUAGAGUGCUCGAGGGAGGUGGAAUUCAUGCGUGGCAGUGAAAUGCGUAGAUAUGCGGAGGAACACCGAUGGCGAAGGCAGCCUCCUGGGAUAACACUGACGCUCAUGCACGAGCGUGGGGUUAAACAGGAUUAGAUACUCCCGUAGU